rnacentral:rRNA from 1 species
AACGAACGCUGGCGGCAUGCCUAACACAUGCAAGUCGAACGAAGUGUCGCACGGGUGCGUAACGCGUGGGAAUCUGCCCUCAGGUUCGGCAUAACAGCUGGAAACGGCUGCUAAUACGGGAUGCCUGAGGGUGAGCCGGCGUUGGAUUAGGUAGUUGGUGGGGUAAAGGCCUACCAAGCCGACGAUACAUAGCUGGUCUGAGAGGAUGAUCAGCCACACUGGGACUGAGACACGGCCCAGCCUGCUGCGGGAGGCAGCAGUGGGGAAUAGUGGACUAUGGGGGAAAGACUGAUCCAGCAAUGCCGCGUGAGUGAUGAAGGCCCUAGGGUUGUAAAGCUCGUUUACCCGGGAAGCGGUACCGGGAGAAUAAGCCCCGGCUAACUCCGUGCCAGCAGCCGCGGUAAUUC